rnacentral:rRNA from 1 species
UAUUAACUGAAUACAUAGGUUAAUAAAGCGAACCGAGGGAACUGAAACAUCUAAGUACCUCGAGGAAAAGAAAUCAAAUGAGAUUCUGCAAGUAGCGGCGAGCGAACGUGGAAUAGCCUUCACGAGAUAAUAGACAAAUUAACCAAACACUCUGGAAAGAGUGGCCAAAGAGGGUGAUAGCCCCGUCGGUGAAAGUUUGUUUAUGGUACUAAGCGUGAAAACAAGUAGGGCGGGGCACGAGAAAUCCUGUCUGAAGAUGGGGGGACCAUCCUCCAAGGCUAAAUACUCUCGACUGACCGAUAGUGAACCAGUACCGUGAGGGAAAGGCGAAAAGAACCCCGGCGAGGGGAGUGAAAUAGAACCUGAAACCGUCUGCGUACAAGCAGUAGGAG